rnacentral:rRNA from 1 species
AGUGAACGCUGGCGGUAGGCCUAACACAUGCAAGUCGAACGGCAGCACAGUAAGAGCUUGCUCUUACGGGUGGCGAGUGGCGGACGGGUGAGGAAUACAUCGGAAUCUACUUUUUCGUGGGGGAUAACGUAGGGAAACUUACGCUAAUACCGCAUACGACCUACGGGUGAAAGCAGGGGAUCUUCGGACCUUGCGCGAUUGAAUGAGCCGAUGUCGGAUUAGCUAGUUGGCGGGGUAAAGGCCCACCAAGGCGACGAUCCGUAGCUGGUCUGAGAGGAUGAUCGGCCACACUGGAACGUGGACACGGUCCAGACUCCUACGGGAGGCAGCAGUGGGGAAUAUUGGACAAUGGGCGCAAGCCUGAUCCAGCCAUACCGCGUGGGUGAAGAAGGCCUUCGGGUUGUAAAGCCCUUUUGUUGGGAAAGAAAAGCAGCAGGUUAAUACCCCGCUGUUCUGACGGUACCCAAAGAAUAAGCACCGGCUAACUUCGUG